AGCCCCCAUGUGGAGGUGACCGUGAGGGGCGUCUGUGAGGAGUCCCCAUGUGGAGGUGACUGUGAGGGGCGUCUGUGAGGAGCCCCCAUGUGGAGGUGACCGUGAGGGGCGUCUGUGAGGAGUCCCCAUGUGGAGGUGACUGUGAGGGGCAUCUGUGAGGAGUCUCCAUGUGGAGGUGACUGUGAGGGGCGUCUAUGUGAGGAGCCCCCAUGUGGAGGUGGCUGUGAGGGGCAUCUGUGAGGAGUCUCCAUGUGGAGGUGGCUGUGAGGGGCGUCUGUGAGGAGUCUCCAUGUGGAGGUGGCUGUGAGGGGCGUCUGUGUGAGGAGCCCCCAUGUGGAGGCGACUGUGAGGGGCUUUUGUGUGAGGAGUCUCCAUGUGGAGGUGACUGUGGGGCAUCUAUGUGAGGAGUCUCCAUGUGGAGGUGACUGUGAGGGGCGUCUAUUUGUGGAGCCCCCAUGUGGAGGUGGCUGUGAGGGCCGUCUGUGAGGAGUCCCUAUGGAGGUGGCUGGGUAGGUUGGGGGCUGGUGCUCGUGUCCCACACUCUGUGGAGCAUCCAUCACGCGUAGCAGGGAGCAGCCUUCUGUCCGGCUGUGGGGCAGGGCCUCCCGUGCUUCGUGCUCUAGGUUGACACACAGUCGGCUCGGCUGGUGGCACCGAGCCCAUGGCCGUCACCUUGGCAGUGGCGGGCCACGUCACGGGGGUUGUGGCUGCGGGGCAGGGAGUCGGGCGGCUCGCUCUUUCUGCACUCGGAGUGGCGCGCGCUCAGGCCGCAGCCCAGCCCGGUGGCAGGGUGGCAUCUGCCCGGGGGAGUGGCAGCCUCACAGGCCUGUGCCUGGACUGGCGCCUCCGGCACUGCGGCCUCUGCCACGCCGCGUCUGCUGUGACGGGCUGGGGAGGCCUGGCCCGCCGGUCCCCUCCGCGUGGAGAGCAGCAGGGCCGCGGGCACAGGGUCCAGUCGCCGUCCCCGUGUGUGCUCAGCGGGGCGGGCCCUCAGGGCCGGGGGUCCCACACCGGGCUGCCCCCGGCACGGCCCUGGGCCGGGCUCCGGCUGC